rnacentral:lncRNA from 1 species
GGUUGAAGGUUUGUUUUGCGGAUUUAUAAAUUUGUGAUUUGAAGGCCGGUGUUAGUUUAGAAGCUUUGCGGAUCAAUGUAAUAAUAUUUAUUCAUUUAAAUUUUUUUAAUCCAAUUAGUUAAUCUAAUUUGCAUGUUAGUUAGAAAUUAGUUAAUCUAAUUUGCAUGCUAAGUAAUAGUAAAAUGAAAUGCAUGUUCUUAAAUUGUGUGAAUUGAAAAUGAAUGCAAAUUUUUUGAAAUGAAUUCUAUAAAAUGAAAUGUCAUGAAAUGAAUUAAAAUGCAUGAUUUAAAAAGAAUUCAUGAG